UCGAGAAUCUUCGGCAAUGGGCGCAAGCCUGACCGAGCGACGCCGCGUGGAGGAUGAAGGCCCUUGGGUUGUAAACUCCUGUCAGAGGGGAUGAAGUGCCAGCCAGUAAUUCAUAAUCUGGUUGGUUUGACAUAGCCUCAGAGGAAGCACGGGCUAAGUUCGUGCCAGCAGCCGCGGUAAUACGAACUGUGCAAACGUUAUUCGGAAUCACUGGGCUUAAAGGGUGCGUAGGCGGCUUAUCAAGUAGGGUGUGAAAGCCCCCGGCUUAACCGGGGAAUUGCGCCCUAAACUGAUGAGCUGGAGUGAGAUAGGGGUGUGUGGAACUUCCGGUGGAGCGGUGAAAUGUGUUGAUAUCGGAAGGAACGCCGGUGGCGAAAGCGACACACUGGAUCUCAACUGACGCUGAGGCACGAAAGCCAGGGGAGCGAACGGGAUUAGAUACCCCUGUAGUCC
rnacentral:rRNA from 1 species